CCUACGGGAGGCUGCAGUAGGGAAUCUUUCACAAUGGGCGAAAGCCUGAUGGAGCAACGCCGCGUGAAGGAAGAAGGCUUUCGGGUUGUAAACUGCUUUUAUAAGCGAGGAAUAUGAUGGUAAUUUAUGAGUAAGGAUCGGCUACCUACGUGCCAGCAGCCGCGGUCAUACGUAGGAUCCGAGAAUUAUCCGGAGUGACUGGGUGUAAAGAGUUGCGUAGGUGGCGAAAUAAAUAGCGAGUGGAAUCUGCAGGCUCAACCAUUAAGACUAUUAGUUAAACUGUUAAUCCUGAGAGCGUUAGAGGUAACUGGAAUUUCUAGUGUAGCGGUGAAAUCCGUAGAUAUUAGAAGGAACACCAAUAGCGUAGGCAGGUUACUGGGCCGGAUCUGACACUAAGGCGCGAAAGCGUAGGGAGCAAACGGGAUUAGAUACCCGGGUAGUC
rnacentral:rRNA from 1 species